GGCCACAAAGGCCGGGCGAGGCAGUAUACAAGCCCUGAGGAGAUCGACGCGCAGCUGCAGGCUGAGAAGCAGAAGGCCAGGGUGAGAAGAAGAGGAGCAAAAAGAAGGUGGAGAUGGGGCUGCAGGUGACCCCAAAAAGGAGAAGAAAUCUCUAGACUCAGAUGAGAGUGAGGAUGAAGAAGAUGACUACCAGGUACUGAAUCUUCUGAGGGCCUGAGGCCUGGACUCAUUAAUUCAACAAAGAAACGUUGAGUGACCAUUUAGUACUAGUCC
rnacentral:sRNA from 1 species